rnacentral:rRNA from 1 species
UCUCAUACCGAACACAGAAGUUAAGCUCUCUUACGCCGAAAGUACUUGAGGAUCACCCUCCGGGAGGUUAGGUAGUUGCCGCAU